CAAACAAAAGUAACCACAUGGACCGACCUCUGGAGACAUUAUUAUGAUUCAGCAGAUAUGAAUGUGUGCAAACUAUAUACUAUAAAACAUACUCCUUCUGCACACAGCCAAAGGACACAGUUUUACUACCCAAGACUAUUAUUUCAAUGUGUAUACGACUUUUAACCCGUUGUGUACUAUUCAAUAAUUGAAACUUUCAAACCAUGCAUAUAAUUAAUGCAGCAGAUUUCAUUGGUGAUCAGCUCUUACAAAAAGCUGAACAUCCUUAUUGGAAUUUUAAAAACUUCCUGCAUUUGAAUAUAAAGAUGGUACAAAUUAAGCCCAAGUGUAAUGCACCCAAAUUUUAUUAAUUUCUUAUUACUUUGCAGAUAUAUGCACACGUAUACCUGCAGCAUGUAUAGUAAUAGUAAAAACAAUUAUAUAUCCCUUCUCCUCACAAGAUUAAUAUUUAAACAAAUUUAAAAUUUUGUAUUGAUUCAUAUUUGUGGAAAACGAGAUCAAUUUAAUUAAUUGCUAAAAAUUCAUCCAAUUUCUAACAUGUAUUCGGGCUAAAAAAAUCGUAUAUUAUGACAAACCCUAGGAAUCAAUCAGAUGUAACCGCGUUGAAAUAUUUGCAAGGGAAAAUAAGUGCAGCUAUAUUCGUGACAAAGUUUUCCAACUUGCAUAUGUAUCAAUUGGUAAUACACUGUUUGUUGGCAUCUCAUAAAUAAUUCAUGUCGUACUAUCAUUCAUAUCCAAAUCAUUUAGUUGCUCAAAUAAUGCACAAGUCAAUUCCAAAAAUAUCCACAAUCGUGCAUGGUCGGCUUAAUUAUUAGUAGUUUUGAUACGUUCUUAAUUUCUAUCUAUCUAUGUUAAUAAUUAAUUUUCACUGCGAAACAAUUGUCUUAUUUUACUUUCUUAUACGACACUCAAAGGUUUUUUAUAUAUCCAAAAUAUCGUACGUGUCCAUAUAUCAUUGCUAUUUAAUGAUUAGUUAACUUUCAAUAUUAUACUUGUAAUUAUAUAUGAAUAUUAUAAAAGAAGGUGAACAUGUUAUAUCUUACAGACAUUUUCCUGUUUUUAGUUUUUCUAACAAGUAUUUUAAAUUGUUUCUAAUUUCUGAAACAACUCUGUAAAAUUCAGAUAAAUGACUACAUGUCGAAAUACUUUGGUUAGAUGAUUUGUCAAUCAAGAUGAGUUAAUACUAUUAUGCCCAAUUAAAAAAAUUUCACGCUUCUGCUUCUGCUUCAGCCUCUUCUUAGUCUCUCCUUCCUCCCCGACGAUGUCGUCGACGUCGAAGAGGAGCGAGGCAUCCGACGGCGGCUGGAGGCGCCUCUUCCGCCACGCGGCCACGAAGACGGAGGCGAUCUGCGUGAGCGGGCUGCCGACCAGCUUCUUGAAACGGUAGCGUUUUGUCCCGGACAAGAAGACGAGGAGGCCGACGAGGAUGGCGCAGGCGCAGAUGCCGUAGCCCCACUCGCGGCCGAGGUGAUCCUGAAUGUAGACGAGCACGGUGACGGCGGCGAGGGCGCCGAUGCUGAUGAAGAAGAAGAACCAGUUGAAGAACUUUAUCAUCUGCUUCUUCUCCUUGGCGUCGGACUCGUCGAACUGGUCGGAGCCGAACCCGGACACGCUGGACUUCAGGCCGCCGGUGCCGAGGGCGGUCAGGUAGAGAGCGGCGUAGAGGACCAGCAUCUGCUUGCUGCUUGCCGGAAUACAUGACGGGCUUCCGGCGGCGCACUUCGGCGGCCGGAGGCUCGGGAUUAUGGUUGAGAUUGUCAAGAUCGUUACACCCUGGAUCCAGUUAUUGUGAUUCUAAAUUAGUCAAGCACCACCACCCCAAUUAUUUGGAAAUAUUGUUCAUCUCUCACCCAAUUGGCAACACCAUUUCUGUAACCAUUAAAUUGGGAGUUCCAAUCAUUAUUUAUUGUCUUUUCUUUAAA